GAUGGGAAAUCCUAAAUUCACUGACUCAAAAAUUCCAUCUCCUUCCAUCUGAAAUGUGCUCUUGCUGGCCCUCCGAGGGAAGGAAAGAGGAGGAAAAGUCAGGCCCGUGUGAGUUCUGAUGAAACCUGUCCUUUUGUUGCCCAGACAGCAAAUGCCAAGUGUCCUGCAUUCACCCCUUCCUCCAGCAGACGUCUGUGGAGCUGAAAGCCUGCUGUCUGCUCCGUGCUCCGUGACACAGGCUCUGGGAUGCAGCAGCGAACACAGACUGAGUCCUGUGCUCCUUAAACAUAGUGUCCAGUGGGGGAGACGUGCCGACCAAAGAGAAAAACUGGCACACACGUGUGUAAGAGCUCAGGAGGUACACUCGGCAGAUGUGUGUUGUGGCAGCGGUCCUCCUCUGGAGUCUGGCCAGGAAGGGUUUCCCAUAGGAGCAGCACGUAAUCCAGAACCUGAAGGAAGCAGGAGUUAACCAGUCCAGGAAGAAAAGGAGCAGAUGCCAGGCAGAGAGAAUGGUGUGUGCAAAGGCCCUGGGGUACACGGGGGGGAUGGGGCAUGCUGGAGGAAGGCCCUGGAGCUUGGUCGGCAAGAGCAGCAUAGAGACAGAUAGAGCUCAAGGGGGUGCUGGACCAGCACAGUUGGAGUCCUACAGCCCACAUGAAGGGUGCUGGUCCUUACCUGAGAGCAGUCGGAAGCCACGGGAUGGAUUUAAGGGAUGGAGUGCCGCGCUCCUCGGCUCCUGAGAAGAUCCCUCAGAUCAACUUUCCAAUGAAGACCUUGAAUAAUUGCUAAACAGAGGACAUUUUGUUGUUCCGUGCAGACCAGGUGACAGGGGCCACUCCAGCAGCUCCUCCCACUUACCUUGAGAAAGACCCCUAGCACAUCGGGGCCUGUUUCUGCCAGAGCAUGGAAAGGGGUUCGGGAAACUGUCCGAGGGGAAGCCUGACAGACGCUCCUUCAGGCGACUCAGGGUGUUGUCCACAGUGAGGAGGCAGGUGAUUGGACGGGUUAAGAAGGGCCCUUCAGCUCUGGGGUCUUCCUACCACCACCCGUAACUCCAGUCUCACCGUGACAGACCCAAACCGAGGGACAGUCUAUGAAACUCCCGGCCAGCACUCCCCAAAGCUGUCGAGGCAAGUCUGAGAAACCAUCCCAGCCCAGAGGAGCCUGAGAGACAGGACGACCGAACGCAGCGUGGGAUCCUGGGACAGAGAAAGGACGUCAGCUGAAAGCCAGGGAAAUCCGAGCGAGGCACGGACUUAGCUAAUGAUGGCCAGGCCCCAUCUUGAGAGCAGACUGUGGCCUGGACGGGGCACAGGACUGAUCUUGGCAGGGGACACGCAGCCCUGCUCCGUGCGACGACCGUCGCGGGCCAGCUACAGGGGACGGUGCAGCAGCUCCGCACUCAGUCCGUCCUGACGUGGGUGGACCCACGGAGACGCUGUGCGUUGAUUAGCAAGCCGUGUGACCUUGAGCCAGCUGUGCCUCGGUUUCCCCAUCUGUAAGAGAGGAACGACAAUGAGAACGAUCUCCCAGGUGGUUGUGCAGCCCGAGGAGGCGACACAGGAAAUGCUCCGGUGUUGCAAAUUGUCGUCCACGAGACCAAGAGCUGUGCGGACGGGAGCCUGUUUCGCUCGUGCGUGUAGACCCAGGCGUGGCACGUGGCUGGACACACAGUUACUCCCCUACACACCACGUCCCCCAGACAGCCUUCGCCAUCGUCAGCAUAGCCUGUGAGCCAGAAUCUUGCCAUCUGUUUCCUCCAGACUCGCAAAAGCUCUCUCCGGCCUGGCCCUUGGUCUCGGUCUCCAUUCAGCAAGUGUUCUGGCCACAAGAGACUGUCCUCUGAUGAGCGGUUCAGAGCGAGAACACAGGAUCCGUAUUAGAGGCACAGCGUGGGGUCAAGGCCAAGAACCCAGAGGAAGCUAAGGACAGCGUCUCGAGAAGGCCCUGCGCGCCCCGCGGUUUCGGGUGGAAAUAUGGUCUUUGCUGUGACUGCAUCAUGGUUGAAUUUCACACCAGAGAAAGGAAGGACUGACUUUAACCUCAAAACGAGGAAGACCGUAACAGUCACACACAGAAAAGCCGUUGCCUGAAGGAGAAGCCGCCGUGGUAGGGGGUCUGGGAGUGCGUGGCAGCCACCCCCAAGGACAGCUGGAAGGCGGCCACCAGGCUGGCCACGCAGGACUGCCACGGAGGGCACGGCAGAGGAGGGAAUGGCCGCGAGAACGUGCUGGCAGCGGCACGUCAGGAGGAAGUGGCUUCUGUGAGCCGUCGCCCUCACAGCAGGCCGAGAAGCAGAAAUUUAACCACACAGGGGUACGGAGCUAUUUUCAACCUUGGGGUUUUCACCCCAAGUCCCCAAAGUGCUUGGGCAGCCCAGCUCCCGUGUGACCCCAUCAGGGCCCUGGACCCAUGGGAAAGGACAGAAGAGAAGGCAGGUCUGAGAAAGACGGGCAGAAGGGCACGUGGGGCAGCAGGUCUCCACCUGGACCCUGGGCCGUGAGGCCACGCUGGGCCUGGGCUUCCUGUCUGCUCACGCAGGCUCUGUGUUUCCUCUGGCUGCGGUACAGACGACCCCAUCCCUAGUGGCUGAAAACAGCACACAUUCACUCUCUUAUGUUCUCUGACAACACAUAGAUUCUAGAGGUCACCCGUCCAACGCGGGUCUCACGAGACUCAAGGUGUCGACAGGACCGGCUCCUUCCGGAGGCUCCCUCCCCUCCUCACACUUCCAGAGACCACGGCAAUCCUUGGUCCGUGGCCCCUCACCAUCUUUGAAGCCAGCAGAGUGGCACCGUCCCGUCUCUCUGGUCCCCUCCUCUCCCCCUUCCAGGACCGUGUGGGGACACCGGGCCCACCAGAUCAUCUAGGACCACCUCCCCAUCUCCAGGUCCUCAACUCAGCCCCAUCCUCAAAGCACCUCCCGCCAGGAAGGGAGCUCCCCCCCCAAGUUCGUGCUGAGCACUAACAUGGAUGUUUUGGGGGGCAUCACCCGGUCUACCUCACGUCUCUUCCCUCUGGAACCUUCUAAGAUUCUAGGCAAGGAAGAUGAGGCUUCUUCCAAACUCAAGAUCGACUACAAUGGUGGCUGAUGUUCAUGGCGGCCUGCCCUCCCCACGACCGUGCUGACCCACGUGGCCUGCCCGUGCCCCGAGUGAGGCCCCAUCCACGGAGGGCAAAGUCAGGCUCAGGGUGGGGGUGCUGACUGGUCUGUCCACGUUCAUUCGGGAGUGAACAGCAGAGCUGGAUCCUUGAACCCGCGUCCUGCCAGAGCCCGAGUCCUUGGCCGCCUCGACGGGAUGCCGCUCUGGUGUCCCAGGCGGAAACCACACUCACCUCAUCGAAGCGAGGUGGACCAAAGCUUUGAAAAUCAAGCCUCGCAGCCCUAAGGGCUCCCACUCAUUGCUGGUGGCCAUCCAGAAUGUUCGGCCCUUUUGGAAGACAGCUGGCCUGUCUCUCACAAAGCUGCACAUCGGCUGACCCCACGAUCCAGGAGCUGUGCACCCACAUACCCUGCCACGGGAGCCGAGAACAAAGGUCCACGUGACCACCUGCACAUGUGGGAGCAGCUCUGUUCACAGCUGCCGGCAGGACGAGGACCAGACAGGCCAGGGGCACGGAGCUCACAAGAUGCCGUCCAAGCCGUUGAAUGAGGACAGAGACUGGGCAGGAAAGGUCACCCUUCCUGCCGUGGGGUCCUCGCCGCCUCUCGCCUCUCUCCCCUCGGCCUCUCCCACCCUUGCCGUCGUGACCCUCCGUGUCAUCAUCUCCCAGAGCAAAGUUCUCCUGCCCUUUUCCAGUGUCCCGUGUGGCCCUGAGAGUGGGUAAGCACGCAGUGCCAUCCGUGACGGCCCAACCCUGGAGCCAGACUGAGCGCCCAGCCGCAGAAGAAGGAGGGAGUCCUGGUACGCUCACAGCCCGGAACGCGAGACCCUGGGGACGCACGUCCACUGGGCCAGCUCUCCAGCAAUGCUCCCUCGGGUCCUUACGAUUUGGAAAAAGGAGAGCGUGCCCUCCACGAACCAGGUGGUGGGUGUGUGUGUGAGCACAGCCAGGAGCCGGGAGCUGUCUCACAAGCGUCCGGCCCGAGGACACAGCUCCACAACCACAGGCGACUUCAGGCUCCCUCUCCUCCCCUCUUCUCACCGUUGAGAACCCUGCAGUUGAUGUGCGCAGCGAGCCCAGCCCACCCCUCGCCACCGCACGUGUGCUGAGACUCCCAGCGCUCAGGGCUGGCACUCGCUGUCCGCUCCUGGGCCCCCCCUUAGUCUCCCUACACAUCAGCUGAGUCCCCCUCCAACGAGAAACAACAUGUCUAGAAAGGGGGGGAGGUGGUCCUGAGUUUGCAAGGAGCCCUCUCCCUGGGGACGGGGGAGGGGAGAGGUCUGUGAACCCUGCCGUCUCUAGUGCCUCCGUCUGACCCCACAGAAACCUCUCAGCCCUCGUUCUUCCGUAUUUGACGGGAAGGAGGUGAUGGGAAGGGAGCAAAUGUGUCUUGAGCACCUACUAUGUGCCCGGCAGCUUGGAAGACCUGCCUCCUGGAGCCCUUCCCUCCCACGUUGGCUUGCGACCUGCUUCCACCACCAGAGCGCUGACCUGCCACAUUCACACAUCGGCCGCUCACUCCCCAAACGCCGGCCACACACCCCUGCACGCCAGGCCCCUUCCA